AAUCCUUCUGCUGAUCACUCUGCUCACAGCAGGUGCUACUACAUCCCGAGUCAGACGUCAGGCUGGGUGGCAGUUUGGCAGUCUGUUCCGCUGCACCAUCCCUUGGGUUUAUUCCUUCACGGGGAACAACUACUAUGGCUGCCUCUGUGGCAUUUUCAGCAGGGACACCCAGGUGGAUAAGAGGUGCUGCCGGACUCGUGACAACUGCUAUGCUCAAGUCAAGAAGGUGAAAAGCUGCAAAUCCCUCUUAGAUGACCGCUAUGGAAGCUUCUAUACAUACUUGUGCUCCGGAAAUAAGGUCAGCUGCAGUGAGGAAAACAGUACCUGUGAGGAUUUGAUCUGCAACUGUGACCGCCAGGCUGCCAUCUGCUUCUCCAAGGAGAACGAAGGCAUUCAGUGUUAGACUUGUCACCUCAGUUACGGGUACACCAUCCCUGCCUGUCUGAUUGUGUUCACUACACACUGUGCCCUCUAAUA